rnacentral:rRNA from 1 species
GCGGUAAGGCCCUUUCGGGGGUACACGAGCGGCGAACGGGUGAGUAACACGUGAGUAAUCUGCCCUUCACUUCGGGAUAACCGCCGGAAACGGUGGCUAAUACCGGAUACGACACGCUUUCGCAUGGGAUGUGUGUGGAAAGUUUUUUCGGUGGAGGAUGUGCUCGCGGCCUAUCAGCUUGUUGGUGAGGUAACGGCUCACCAAGGCUUCGACGGGUAGCCGGCCUGAGAGGGUGACCGGCCACACUGGGACUGAGACACGGCCCAGACUCCUACGGGAGGCAGCAGUGGGGAAUAUUGGACAAUGGGCGAAAGCCUGAUCCAGCAACGCCGCGUGAGGGAUGACGGCCUUCGGGUUGUAAACCUCUUUCAGUACCGACGAAGCGCCGAUGAAGGUGGUGACGGUAGGUACAGAAGAAGGACCGGCCAACUACGUGCCAGCAGCCGCGGUAAUACGUAGGGUCCGAGCGUUGUCCGGAAUUAUUGGGCGUAAAGGGCUCGUAGGCGGUUUGUCGCGUCGGGAGUGAAAACUUACAGCUUAACUGUGAGCGUGCUUCCGAUACGGGCAGACUUGAGGCAUUCAGGGGAGAACGGAAUUCCUGGUGUAGCGGUGAAAUGCGCAGAUAUCAGGAGGAACACCGGUGGCGAAGGCGGUUCUCUGGGAAUGUCCUGACGCUGAGGAGCGAAAGUGUGGGGAGCGAACAGGAUUAGAUACCCUGGUAGUCCACACCGUAAACGUUGGGCGCUAGGUGUGGGG